UACGUAGGGUCCGAGCGUUGUCCGGAAUUAUUGGGCGUAAAGAGCGUGUAGGCGGUUCGGUAAGUCUGCCGUGAAACCUGAGGCUCAACCUCGAGACGUCGGCGGAACCAUCUGGCUAGAGUCCGGAAGAGGAGAGUGGAAUUCCUGGUGUAGCGGUGAAUGCGCAGAUAUCAGGAAGAACACCCGUGGCGAAGGCGGGUCUCUGGGCCGAUACUGACGCUGAGGAGCGAAGCGUGGGAGCGAACAGG
rnacentral:rRNA from 1 species